CGACCGGCGCACGGGUGAGUAACACGUAUGCAACCUGGCCGCCACAGGGGGAUAACCCGCGGAAACGCGGCCUAAUACCCCGUGACGCCACCGGAGGGCAUCCUCCGGUGGCCAAAGGAGCGAUCCGGUGGCGGAUGGGCAUGCGGCGCAUUAGCUAGACGGCGGGGUGACGGCCCACCGUGGCGACGAUGCGUAGGGGUUCUGAGAGGAAGGCCCCCCACACUGGUACUGAGACACGGACCAGACUCCUACGGGAGGCAGCAG
rnacentral:rRNA from 1 species